GUUUAUAGCCAGUUUGCAAAGCCUUGCUGCUAUAGGCUUGAAAAGUAUCAUUUUGUUCUGGAGACUGCCCCUUUUCCUGGGGAAAGAAGGCUCCAUUUUGAGAAGCCUCUUGCCUUCUAGACUGAAGAAGAAACAACUUAGAUGUGUGGCCAAGCCAGGCCAACUCUGACAAGGCCAUCAUCUCUCCCUGAAUGAUUUCAGUUAAGACUUGAGAAGGCACCUCUGCUUGAAAACCCUGGGAGCCAAGAAGGAGACUCAGAAAAAGGUUUUGCCAGUGAAAGGGCAUAUUGAGAAGAAUGGUGAUGAGACCCUUGCAGAUGUUUUGGCCAGGCUACAAGUCCUGAAGGAAGUAAACGGCCUGACGAUACCCCUUCCAGUAAUACCUAGGUCCUGCAGGAGCAACAGAAGAUAACAGGCUGUGGAGAACACCAAAGAAGUGGCUCAAAGAAGACUAUCACUUCUGCUCAGUUAUGCACUUGGAAGAUUGCACUUCAAAUACUGAUCACAAUGAAAAUAAGAAAUAAACAUGGCCCUAGUUUUACUCCAGAAUUUAUUGGCAUAUUAUGUGCCAUGGGUAUGCAAUUAGUUUUCAACAGUCAGCAUACCAAAGGAUUAAGAAGCCAUGGUUCAUUUAUAUGUAUUUAUUUAUUUAUUUAAGUACAGGCAGUCCCAAGUUAUGAACAAGAUAGGUUCUGUAGGUUUGGUCUUCAGUGAAAUGUGUAUGUAAGUCAGAACAGGUACAUUUUUUAAGUGUAACUCCAGUUAUAUAUACAAACAGAGAGCGAGGGGGCAGGGUUCCUUUGUUGUCCGUGUUCAGAAGAUUUCACCUGACUUUCUGUCCCUGUGAUCACUGGAUUUUAAAAAAUUUGGCUUGUUGUGGAAACGAGGAUUGUUGAGAAAACUACAGUUGAGACACCUUUUCCCCAUAGUAACUCUUUCAGGAGUGAAUUUCUCUUUCUAGGAGUAGAUUUCUCUCACUUCAUGUUGUCUCAGGUAAGAGAGGAACUAUGAGUCACUUAUAAGUCUGAUGUCUGUAACUUGGGAACUGCCUAUAUAAGCUCUACUGAUCUUGGUGGGCAUAUCAACAAGUGAUUCCAUAUAAUAUUUUCAGUUCCUCGCCUGAUAUGAACCCACUAAGUAAUUUAAAGGCAUCUGAAGUAAACACAGGUUUAAACCAAAACCUAGUUCCUCAAGAAUGGAUGCAGAAGCCUAGCACAGAACAAUAUGUCAUAUCGGUAUGGCAGGUUUAACAAUAAUAUUACCCUUGUAAGUGAGCAAACCCAAUUGCCAUAGCAACCAGCAAGAAAUGUGUUUGGAAAAGGCCAGCAGCAACAAGCAGGGAAACUGAGCUAAAAUCAACAGACUUUAAAAGAUUUUUAUGUAUGCAUUUAAAUAUGUAUACCUUGCUUUUCCAUCUUAUCCAUUGGACCCCAAAGGUAGCUAGCAACCAAAUUUAAAAUACAUCAUUAGAAAAUUCAAGAAAAAAACAACACAGCAGAAUAUAUUUCCAUUUAACUCUGGCCAAAAUGGAAAAGAAGGAUCCUCAGCUACUCAUUUCAUAUAAAGCACAAAAAUACUAGAUUUGAUCCAUAUAUAUA